rnacentral:siRNA from 1 species
UCAAGGAAUCCACACAAGAGAC